rnacentral:rRNA from 1 species
UACGUAGGGGGCAAGCGUUGUCCGGAUUCAUUGGGCGUAAAGAGCGUGUAGGCGGCCAGAUAGGUCAGCUGUGAAAACUCGAGGCUCAACCUCGAGACGUCGGUUGAAACCAUCUGGCUAGAGUCCGGAAGAGGAGUGUGGAAUUCCCGGUGUAGCGGUGAAAUGCGCAGAUAUCAGGAGGAACACCGGUGGCGAAGGCGGGUCUCUGGGCAGUAACUGACGCUGAGGAGCGAAAGCGUGGGGAGCGAACAGG